rnacentral:rRNA from 1 species
GAUGAACGCUGGCGGCGUGCCUAAUACAUGCAAGUCGAGCGAACGGACGAGAAGCUUGCUUUUCUGAUGUUAGCGGCGGACGGGUGAGUAACACGUGGAUAACCUACCUAUAAGACUGGGAUAACUUCGGGAAACCGGAGCUAAUACCGGAUAAUAUUUUGAACCGCAUGGUCCAAAAGUGAAAGACGGUCUUGCUGUCACUUAUAGAUGGAUCCGCGCCGCAUUAGCUAGUUGGUAAGGUAACGGCUUACCAAGGCAACGAUGCAUAGCCGACCUGAGAGGGUGAUCGGCCACACUGGAACUGAGACACGGUCCAGACUCCUACGGGAGGCAGCAGUAGGGAAUCUUCCGCAAUGGGCGAAAGCCUGACGGAGCAACGCCGCGUGAGUGAUGAAGGUCUUCGGAUCGUAAAACUCUGUUAUUAGGGAAGAACAUAUGUGUAAGUAACUGUGCACAUCUUGACGGUACCUAAUCAGAAAGCCACGGCUAACUACGUG